rnacentral:rRNA from 1 species
GGCGGACGGGUGAGUAAUGCCUAGGAAUCUGCCUGGUAGUGGGGGACAACGUUUCGAAAGGAACGCUAAUACCGCAUACGUCCUACGGGAGAAAGCAGGGGACCUUCGGGCCUUGCGCUAUCAGAUGAGCCUAGGUCGGAUUAGCUAGUUGGUGAGGUAAUGGCUCACCAAGGCGACGAUCCGUAACUGGUCUGAGAGGAUGAUCAGUCACACUGGAACUGAGACACGGUCCAGACUCCUACGGGAGGCAGCAGUGGGGAAUAUUGGACAAUGGGCGAAAGCCUGAUCCAGCCAUGCCGCGUGUGUGAAGAAGGUCUUCGGAUUGUAAAGCACUUUAAGUUGGGAGGAAGGGUUGUAGAUUAAUACUCUGCAAUUUUGACGUUACCGACAGAAUAAGCACCGGCUAACUCUGUGCCAGCAGCCGCGGUAAUACAGAGGGUGCAAGCGUUAAUCGGAAUUACUGGGCGUAAAGCGCGCGUAGGUGGUUCGUUAAGUUGGAUGUGAAAUCCCCGGGCUCAACCUGGGAACUGCAUCCAAAACUGGCGAGCUAGAGUAUGGUAGAGGGUGGUGGAAUUUCCUGUGUAGCGGUGAAAUGCGUAGAUAUAGGAAGGAACACCAGUGGCGAAGGCGACCACCUGGACUGAUACUGA